GGGGAUGUAGUUCAGUGGUAGAGCAGCCAUAGUAGCACCCUCCCGGGAUACGAGAGUUCUCGCUCGAAAAGAGGUGUCUCAAGGCAAACCCUAGUUCGAUUCUAGGCAUCCCCC